ACUCCGGGAAACCGGGGCUAAUACCGGAUGGUUGUUUGAACCGCAUGGUUCAGACAUAAAAGGUGGCUUCGGCUACCACUUACAGAUGGACCCGCGGCGCAUUAGCUAGUUGGUGAGGUAACGGCUCACCAAGGCGACGAUGCGUAGCCGACCUGAGAGGGUGAUCGGCCACACUGGGACUGAGACACGGCCCAGACUCCUACGGGAGGCAGCAGUAGGGAAUCUUCCGCAAUGGACGAAAGUCUGACGGAGCAACGCCGCGUGAGUGAUGAAGGUUUUCGGAUCGUAAAGCUCUGUUGUUAGGGAAGAACAAGUGCCGUUCAAAUAGGGCGGCACCUUGACGGUACCUAACCAGAAAGCCACGGCUAACUACGUGCCAGCAGCCGCGGGUAAUACGAA
rnacentral:rRNA from 1 species